rnacentral:lncRNA from 1 species
CAUCACAAAAGUUAAUAUUUUGUGGAGAUCAAGGAAUGAAACUCAGCCCUCUGCAAAUGGAACACAAACGCCUGGUACAUGGAUGCUACAAUGAAAAGAAUAUGGGUGCUGAAAUCAGAGAGAAUCAUCCAAGAUGAUCCUUAUGCAUGCUGAACUCUGAGAGCCACCAGUGAAGAAGAUAAGUGACCCAUCUACCUGUAGCUGGAAAAUAAAGGCUCUUUGGGAUUCUUUCCCGUGAGUCUUCAUUUCACCAUAUUGGUGAGAGAAGGCAUUCAGGCCCAAUAAUUAACUGAACAUUAGCUGUGUACCAGACACUGUGGUCGACAUUGAGAUAUAACGGUGAGUGAAGGCACAGCACGUGGGACUUCCUAUAGUCACAUAUGUGACCCAUACG